AUAACGAGGUAGCACACACGUUCAGUAACUUUUAUAUCUGACUGGGAGUAGCAGUAGCAUACACUCUAGAGAGGGAUCAUCAACACUCAUGUACAGCACUUGGUGAGCAUGCUAAGUAGACACAACUCAACUACGGCAAGUCAGUCAGGACAAACUACGCUGAGUCAGCAUGCACAUUAAUACACCACAGUGAGAGAAUGGCUUUGUUGUCAGAAAUAAAAAAGUGUGACAAUGAAGUGCUGAUAAAAGCAAAACGGGUAUAAAACUUCUCCCACAGAAGACGAGAGGUCGUUGAACAGAGGCCCAUGAUAGAGGAAAUCAAAACUGGUGACCCGCCCGGUUUCAGCAGAGUGAAGUACUAUCUAUCAAUAAAGUACUAUCUAAUUAAUGAGGAGUUCUUGCAAAUCACUGCAAAGCCACUGCAGUCAAAGUUUAUAAACAUCUGGACCACAUUUCACUCAAGCUGAUGCAGAUCCUCAAAAGCAAAGUGUGACGACACUGACAUCAGGAGGGAGAGCAUCCUGAGAAGCCUUGUUAUCCGUCUCAAUGAAGACCCAGACACUUUCUUCAAGGAAUAUCUAGCCUCCGCCACUGAGGAUGCAGAAAGGGACAUUGCCCUCACAGUCAUGGGGAUAUACAGUACAUAAUCCGUGGAGAUGGCGAUAGGGAGCCAGAGGAUGUUGGAGUUGUUAUCGAAGGCAUCAAAGUCCUGAGCAACGUGGACAUUGUCAUCAUGGGGAUUAUAAUGAUGUUUGGUCUCAAUUAUGCUCUCGAUCUAAGGUUUCCAGACAACCUCAAGUACACAUUCGAGUUUUUCCAGAAGAUCCUAAUGAACUUGGAUGGUCACAAACUGAACACAAAGAUACAGCAGCUGAAAAUCAAGUUGUUUGCAUGGGAGGUGAACACUUGUUGAUGAAGUUCAUCAUCGGAUCUUUGACAUCUUGUGGUAAAGUAAAAAUAAUCACCAUCGA